GUGCUUCCUUCGGCAGCACAUAUACUAAAAUUGGAGCAAUACAGAGAAGAUUAGUGUGGCCUCUGCACAGCAAAAUAAAUAAAAGAAUAAAAGUACAAUUCC